rnacentral:tRNA from 1 species
GUGUCUAUGGUUUAAUUAAAACGUUAGAUUGUGAUUCUAAAAAUAAAAGUUAAAAUCUUUUUACUCACC